AAGUCGUAACAAGGUUGACCCUCCAAUCUACGGAAGCCUUUGCAGCACGACUCUAAACAGUUGCAAGUCGAUUCGAUCGGCGACGCUUUCGAAUUGCGGGAAAUUCCUGAAGCCUGAACUACCAACUUGACCGUGAAAACCGUCAAGGGCUGGUCUAAUCAACCAGAGGGUAAAAACGUUCCGGAUUGGACGAUCCGCAGCCAAAUCCCGUUGAUUCAUUGGGAGAGGUUCACAGACUGAGUGAUAGUGGGUGGUGUUCAGCCGCUUAAGAUACAGUCGGGCUUUAAAGGAGACUUUAAAAGACUCACCGUUCCGUAGGUGAACCUGCGGAAGGAUCAUUACAGUGUUAGGCUUCGGCCUCAUGCACACCCCUUGUUUAACCUCCGGUUUCUUUGGCGAUGUCAUGGACUCGUCAAACUUUAACUCUGGUAAUGUGAUACUGUCCGAGUGCGAUUGAAUUAUCAAAA
rnacentral:misc_RNA from 1 species